CUGAUUUAUAGUAUUUCUGUUUCUCUGGUCUAAGUGCUUUUCCUUGACUAAUUUCAAAUGCCAGCCUGACUUACAAAAUUAUAAAUAUCUCAUAAUUAUCUAUUGUAAGCCAGAAUAAAUCUAGCAUACCAUUAUUGUAAUAUAUUAUAAAAUUGUUUAUCUAUAUAUACACACACACAUACACAGUACAUUUUGGAAACAAUUGAAUUAGAGGAUAUUUCUGUUCAAAAUUCAAAUCAGUUUUACUUAUUUUAGCCUUUGAUAUGGUUCAAGAUCCAAUGGCAGCUCUGGAGACCCUCCUGACCUUGGGGUUUGAACGCGUUCUGACCAGUGGGUGUGACAGUUCAGCACUGGAAGGACUGCCUCUCAUAAAGCAGCUCACAGACCAGGAGGUGGGAUAACAGUUAAAAAUCUGCAAAGGAUCCUUGAGGGUUCUGGAGCUACAGAAUUCCACUGUUCUGCCCGAUCUUCUAGAGACUCAGGAAUGAAGUUUCGAAAUUCCUCUGUUGCAAUGGGAGCUUCACUUGCUCAUUCAGAAUAUUCUCUAAAGGUAACAGAUGUGACAAAAGUAAGGACUUUGAAUGCUAUUGCAAAGGAUGUCCUAGUUUAGUUAAACUUGUCUGAGAGACAUGGGUAUCGCAGUGUGAAAGAAGCAGUUGGAUCGACAAUCUCUAUGACAGCACCAACCUUCCACAUGGCCGUGGGUGUUUCUAAGAAGAAAAAGACAUCGGACAGCAAUGUGAUCACUUUCUUUGGUAGUCAUUGCUGUCUGCCAUCAUGGGUGAAUUUAGUCUGUGCUUCUUCCACAAGGGCAGGCUUAGCUUUCAGUGGGCUUAACUAAUGAACUGGCAGUGUUCAGCUGCAAGGCAUGAAACCAGAGUCUGCUUCAGGGUUGAUUUAGUGCCACUUUUGUGCCUUUUUGUUUUGUAAAAUAAAAAUUCUCCUUC
rnacentral:lncRNA from 1 species